AGUUGAUCUGGCUCAGGAUGAACGCUAGCGACAGGCUACACAUGCAAGUCGAGGGGCAGCAUGGGAGUAGCAAUACGAACUGGUGGCGACCGGCGCACGGGUGAGUAACGCGUAUGCAACCUACCUAUCAGAGGGGAAUAACCCGGCGAAAGUCGGACUAAUACCGCAUAAAACAGGGGCACCGCAUGGUGAUAUUUGUUAAAGAAAUUCGCUGAUAGAUGGGCAUGCGUUCCAUUAGGUAGUUGGUGAGGUAACGGCCCACCAAGCCGACGAUGGAUAGGGGAACUGAGAGGUUGGUCCCCCACACUGGUACUGAGACACGGACCAGACUCCUACGGGAGGCAGCAGUGAGGAAUAUUGGUCAAUGGGCGGGAGCCUGAACCAGCCAAGUCGCGUGGAAAAGGAAGAAGGAUCUAUGGUUCGUAAACUUCUUUUGCAGGGGAAUAAAGUGCAGGACGUGUCCUGUUUUGUAUGUACCCUGAGAGUAAGGAUCGGCUAACUCCGUGCCAGCAGCCGC
rnacentral:rRNA from 1 species